rnacentral:rRNA from 1 species
UACGGGGGGUGCGAGCGUUGUCCGGAAUCACUGGGCGUAAAGGGCGCGUAGGUGGUCUGAUAAGGGUGUGGUGAAAGUCCGGGGCUCGACCCCGGAUCUGCCAUGCCGACUGUCAGACUCGAGGACUGUAGAGGCAGGCGGAAUUCCGAGUGUAGCGGUGGAAUGCGUAGAGAUCCGGAGGAAGACCGGUGGCGAAGGCGGCCUGCUGGGCAGUUUCUGACACUGAGGCGCGACAGCGUGGGGGAGCAAACAGG